CUAGGGCGAGCGCGGGAGGGGUGAGCUGGGAGAGAGCCUCCCUGCUGGCCGCUGGCCGUGUGUGGGCAAGGGGGAAGGUGGCCGGACAGGGAGCUCCUGGGCUGAGCAGGGAGAGGAAGAGGAUGACUCCGAGAUGGAGCUGGGCUCGGAAGCCAUGGAGGGUCUGUGUGUCUGGGGACUGGGCUGCAUGACGAGGGAGGGAGUGCACGUAGGACACAAGGUUGCACAGGUACCUGACAGCUGGGCCACCGGGCUGGGUGCUCACGGGGAAGCACCUGUGUCAGCUGGAUUUUCCAUGAAGCAGGUGUGGACCUCAGAGGAGAGCAGGUAGACACAGUAUAAGGUGGAGGUUAAGAAGAGCAUGGAAUCUGGGGCCAGACCGUUUGGAUUCAGAUUUUGUCUUUGUCACUGACUGUGUGACCCCACGUGGGACCGUCGGUGGAGCCGGCCCCAGGAUGCCGCGGGGGUGUGGAUGACCGGCUGCCCGGGCCCGGAUGCCGCCGCCCCGCGAGGGCCGCUCCCCAAGGGCCGCCGGUGGCCCCGCGCC